GAACAUGUUCUACUGAGGACUCGCAGGCUGCUCUCAGCCUUUGAGAUAAAAGAAAAGAAAAAUAAGCGUUGCCGAAUAGGCUAAAUGUUAAAAUGAUUGUGCUGAGUACUCCACACUGGCGCAGAUUUAAUAAUGUACAAAACCUUAUUGCAUUCUGCGCCACUAGAUGGCAUAUUUGGGGCAUACAGAUCCUGGGAGGAGGAGAAGAAGAAAGUGUAUGUUGUUGCUGCUAGCCACGUACUCACUCUGCCUGCGGUGGAUUGUUUUAUUCCGUGUCAAUUUAAAACUACUUCAGUAAAUGUAUUAACUUUACACCGAGCCUCUUCAUUGCCUACUACAAAGCAACUUUAUGCACCAGUUCGUCACUGAUGGCUCAUCAACGCGGCGGCAUCCUCGUCAUGGGACAGGUUCAUCAGAGUCAGGUGGUCAGCACCCAAACUAAAACCAUGGGUCAUGGUGAAGAAGUAUGAGAGACUGUUCUAUGUGCCCAGGAUUCGUCAGGAUGGUGUCCAAGAAUUACAUCCUAGCAGCACAGAACAGGACGCCAUCAUGAAGAAGUUGCCUGUGGGGCUUCACUUGGGCUUUGCCAGCGCCUCACUAUCAGUGAUGCUGGUCUCCUUAUCCACCGUGCCUACCCCCACGUUCCUCCCUUGAUGCAUUCAUCUCCUGACCUGUACCUGUUGUGGUAGUAGUCAGUGAUGACACACAGUAGUUGUGAUAAUAACAUACAUGUAUAUGAAAUAACUGAAAUGAUGUCCGUCCAGGCAUUUCCUUUGGUAUUUUAUUAUCCAGUAUAUGUAUGUAUCCAGUUACAUGGGUAUUUUGGUGCCUGGAUUAUACUGCAUGUAAGUAAUAAUAUGAACUCAGGUCAGGAUACCACAGUAGUUCAGAGAACCAUUCAUUAAUAUAAAAUGCACAUGUGUUAUAUGUCCAUCCCAGGAUAGACGUCCCCUCGUAUCACCUUCGUAACCCUAAAAUGCAUGUGUACUUUGUGUCUAAAAAUAAAGUCUAUGAACAACUGAA